GGGAGUUUUGUCCCUCCUGGAACACAUGGACUGCUGGGCACAGCUGUGUUGGUGGGAGGAGAACCCACAUGGAGAACCAAGGGCAAGGAUGGAGGCAGGAUUCAAGUUUUCACUCCACAUGUGCUGUUCCAGCAUCCAGAUGUCAUGGUGGGAGCUCAUCCCAGCUCUGGAAGAGAUUUUGGGGGUCUCCAAGGUGCUCCUGAUUCCUGCUGUGGGUCCAAAUCAUCCCUUACCCAGAGAUCAGCUUGGGGCACUGUCCUGCCUGGAUAUGGAAGGGUCCAGAACUGCUCUGGGCCAGCUGCAGGAUGAUGAUGAUGAUGAAGAUGAGAACUUGGACAUGUCUGCUCCAGCACAGAGAUGGAACCAAGCAGAGAAAGAGCAGGGAAUCAACAGCCCCAGGACUUUCACUUUGAGAAGCAUCAGGCUCAAGCCUAAAGGCAGCCAUCCUGAGAGCUUGAGAGAAUAUUUAAGCUCUGGAUGUGGGCAUCUGAUUGAAGAAACCACAUUACCACAGCUUCAUGGGUUUCCUGUUCUUUAGCUGAUUCCUAGGA